UAGCACUGUUAUGGCCGCAUCCGCCUUAUUUUGUUUUUUUACUCACUCCCCCAACUCCUCUACAUUUUAUAGUACCCCCCCAAGUCACACCUAAAUGCCUCUAGGUCCCUCAUUUUACCUUUUUGCUGCCUCGUUUUUUCAUCCAUAUCUUUGUCCCAAAUGCUGCCAUCUUAAGGUUCUUGGAUGACAUUUACCGAAUGAAUGAAUUAAUAAAAUUAUAACAAGUGAAAACACCAAAUUGCAAUUCAUUUUUCAUUUAGUUUAUUAUAAGAAGGGAGUUACCGGUUUCCACCUUAUAUUUAAAAACAGAAGCAGCGGGGGAGGUAUGUCCCCACCCCCUCACCCCCAUAUAAUGAGUAAGUGCUAUUAAACUAAACAUGGAACCUAGUGUGCCCUCCCCCAGUCCCUUGGUUGGGCCCUAAAUUAUGAGGGAUGCCUACUGUUGCCCCCCCAGCCCC